rnacentral:rRNA from 1 species
UACGUAGGGGGCGAGCGUUGUCCGGAGUUACUGGGCGUAAAGGGCAUGCAGGCGGUCAGGCGCGUUUUGUGUGACAGCGGAUGGCUUAACUGUCCGAGGAUACGAGAUACGGCGUGACUUGAGAGCGCGAGAGGGACACGGAAUUCCGGGUGGAGUGGUGAAAUGCGUAGAGAUCCGGAGGAACACCGAAGGCGAAGGCAGUGUCCUGGCGCGUAUCUGACGCUGAGGUGCGAAAGCCAGGGGAGCGAACGGG